AUAAAAGCGCCUGCGCAGCGUUAGAGCGCUCUCUUUCUCUGCUUUCAUCAUGGAGUUCACUGAUAGACGAAGUGCUUUAUACAUUAAAAACAUGUUUGUGAUGCGUUACACUCGGAGACCCGCGCGGAACACGCUCAGACCACCCUAAUAAAUGUUUGAUUAUCUCUCCAGGGAGCAUAAUGAUCUGGUGGCUGCUGUAUCAUAAGGGUGUUAAUAAACACAUGUGUAUUUCUGCAUCUGAACACUGAAGUAGUGUUGAUAAGAGACCAGAAACAUCUCGCCUGGGUCACCUGGAAACAAACGAGGAAGUGUGGAAAACGCUCCACAGUGACCAUGAUGAAAGUUGGGAGAGGGAUGUCAGUCCACAAUACUGAAACACACCGGAACAUCUGUUUUUGGUGUUUAUUUCACAUAUUAAAUCUUGUCAUUAAAAAAAAAAAAGUU